rnacentral:rRNA from 1 species
UACGGAGGGGGCGAGCGUUGUCCGAAGUUACUGGGCGUAAAGCGCGCGUAGGCGGGUUGGCAAGUCCGCUGUGAAAGCCUGAGGCUCAACCUCAGCGGGUCGGUGGAUACGUGCCAAGUCUUGAAGGCGUUAGGGGGAGAUGGAAUUACCGGUGUAGCGGUGAAAUGCGUAGAUAUCGGUAGGAACACCCGUGGCGAAGGCGGCCGCCUGGUUGGAUGACUGACGCUGGAGACGCGAAAGCGUGGGGAGGCAAACAGG